GCCGAAGUGGCGAAAUGGCAGACGCGCCACGUUCAGGGCGUGGUGAGCGCAAGCUCAUGUGGGUUCGACUCCCACCUUCGGCACCA
rnacentral:tRNA from 1 species